rnacentral:rRNA from 1 species
GGCUCUUUGAAUUUGACUUAUAAGGAGUUGGACCUGCCCAGUGAAAAGUUUUAACGGCCGCGGUACUCUGACCGUGCAAAGGUAGCAUAAUCAUUUGCCUUAUAAUUGAAGGCUUGUAUGAAUGGUUUGACAAGAAUAUAGCUGUCUCUAUGUAAUUUUGUAGAAUUUUAUUUUGAAGUGAAGAAGCUUGAAUUUAAUUAAUAGACAAGAAGACCCUAUCGAGCUUGAAAGAAGGUAAUAAAGGUGUAUAAAAUAAGGCUAAAAAAUUGUUUAUUACAUAUUUUGGUUGGGGCGACUUAGGAACAUAAAAAGCUUCCUAGAUUAUUAUAGAAAAGCAAGUUUGAUCCAAAAAAUUUUGAUUAAAGAAAUUAGUUACCGUAGGGAUAACAGCAUUAUCUCCUUUAAGAGUUCAUAUCGAAAAGGGGGUUUGUGACCUCGAUGUUGGACCAGAAUAUCCUGAAGAUGUAGCAGUCUUUAAGGGUUGGUCUGUUCGACCAUUAAAAUUCUACG